UUUUGCAAGGAUUCAGCGAAAAUAUUCGUCAUGUGUUUACAUAUUUAUCGUUGUUCUUUCAAUGCGUCUUCGCCUCAACGUUGAACAAGGAGAUAACUUGUGAUUUACAUCCUGUUGAUGCGUGAUCGCUGAGUUUAAAAUACACUCUCGACGCGUCGGACCGAUAUGUUUAUGAAAGUCGUAAAAUCGAGAACAACGCGAGUGGCUGGAUUAUUGUCGAAAUCGUAAGGUUAUUUAUCACCACUGGUGAUAAAUCUACACGUCGAAAUCGUUCAGCAUUCGUUAAAUUCGAAACAAGAACCUCUCCGCAAAAAUGCAUACCAUCUUUGCGCUUUUCGUUAUAACGAGCGGCUUCAUCACGGACAUGUGUGCCAACUAUUUAAGGGACAGAUUACCAAAUCUACAUACAUGUCCGAAAUCGCGACUCCAAGCAUGCUUACCGCGAAGCUUGGAUUCGAUGAGGCCUUACUUAGCGCAGAGUGUUCCGUAACUAAGUAUAGAUUCUUUCGAAAUUCCGUAAUUAAGUAUACCUUCUUUCGAGCCAUAUUAUACGCAAUUUUAUAAGAUGACCUUCGAAAACCAGUAUAUCCCUAUGAUAAAGUUUAGUGAUACAUAUAUCAACGGUAUAUCAAACUUCACGAUAACUAGAGUCAGAGUUGUCGAGGAUCAUUAUAUUGAGUUUCUGGCGCACUUUCCAUUCGUCAGUGUGUCCACAAGUUCAAUGCAUACGUCUCAUAUGCGUCUCCUACGCUUAUUAAAAGUAGCAGAUACAGAUUAAAUAGCAAUUUUAGGAACGUCGUUGCUGAAAUUAUUAUACGAGGUAGGCAUUUUGAGAACGAAGAACAAUAUUUUUAGGUGAACAACGUCACCGUGGCAAUCUUAAAGUUUGAAGGGAUGAAGACUAAUAAACAACAAAGAG